UACGAAGGGGGCGAGCGUUGUUCGGAAUUACUGGGCGUAAAGCGCACGUAGGCGGAUUGUUAAGUCGGGGGUGAAAUCCUGGAGCUCAACUCCAGAACUGCCUUCGAUACUGGCGAUCUCGAGUUCGGGAGAGGUGAGUGGAACUGCGAGUGUAGAGGUGAAAUUCGUAGAUAUUCGGAGGAACACCAGUGGCGAAGGCGGCUCACUGGUCCAUUACUGACGCUGAGGUGCGAAAGCGUGGGGAGCAAACAGG
rnacentral:rRNA from 1 species